GCGUUGCUAGCUCAGUGGUAGAGCACUCGGCUGUGAACCGAGAGACCAGGGUUCGAUUCCCGGCAUCGCCCCA
rnacentral:tRNA from 1 species